UACAGAGGGUGCGAGCGUUAAUCGGAAUUACUGGGCGUAAAGCGCGCGUAGGCGGCUUUGCAAGUCGGGUGUGAAAUCCCCAGGCUUAACCUGGGAACUGCAUUCGAGACUGCAUUGCUAGAGUAUGGGAGAGGGAAGUGGAAUUUCCGGUGUAGCGGUGAAAUGCGUAGAGAUCAGGAAGAACAUCGGUGGCGAAGGCGCUCUGCUGGACCAUAACUGACACUCAGGGACGAAAGCUAGGGGAGCGAAUGGG
rnacentral:rRNA from 1 species